rnacentral:rRNA from 1 species
CACGUAGUUAGCCGGUGCUUAUUCUUCAGGUACCGUCAUUAGUGGAGGAUAUUAGCCCCCACCGUUUCUUCCCUGACAAAAGAGCUUUACAACCCGAAGGCCUUCUUCACUCACGCGGCAUUGCUGGAUCAGGCUUGCGCCCAUUGUCCAAAAUUCCCCACUGCUGCCUCCCGUAGGAGUCUGGACCAUGUCUCAGUUCCAGUGUGGCUGGUCGUCCUCUCAGACCAGCUACUGAUCGUAGCCUUGGUGAGCCUUUACCUCACCAACUAGCUAAUCAGAUAUCGGCCGCUCCAGGAGCAUGAGGUUCUUGCGAAUCCCCCACUUUCAUCCUUAGAUCGUAUGCGGUAUUAGCGUAACUUUCGCUACGUUAUCCCCCACUCUUGGGUACGUUCCGAUAUAUUACUCACCCGUUCGCCACUCGCCGCCAGGUUGCCCCGCGCUGCCGUUCGACUUGCAUGUGUAAAGCAUGCCGCCAGCGUUCAAUCUGAGCCAGGA